UUUUGAUAACCACUAACCUGUAUACUUCUUCUUUUGCAGGAUACAUUUUUUUAAAAGUUUUUCUGAUACCAAACUAUUGAAAAUUGAUGGAGUACUCGAAACUUGUUGUGAUCAUUAUUUUCAUUUCUUUAUUUGUAAUACUGUUUAGUCUCACAAGACUAAGAACUAUUGAAAACAAUGUAGAACGUACAAAACCUAUUACUGAGAAGAGGACUUUCAAAAGCAUUUCAUAUUAUUCAACAUAUUUAGAGGACAUACACAAAACAAGGUUAGUAUGUGGCCAGCUGUGUAAUACUUCACGAAAAGGAAAUCCAGGAAUUUUUUUUGAUAAAAUUACAGCCAUUAUAAAUUGUGAAGCUUUAUUUCAAAACGAAUAUGUUGAUUCAUCUCAUGGACUUGAGCAUGCUCCAAGAAAAAUACCUUCAACUUUAUUGAAUGAUUAUACGAUGAAUGGACUAAUAAAAGUGCACGCUGCAUAUUUUAACCAACCAUACCUUGGUAGUACUGCGAGGAUACCUAAUUGGACUAAAUCGUUACUCAAGGAGUAUGUAGCGCGAGCUAAAGAAGGUAAACUGUUUGGUACGUACGGAAUAUCUGAAACUAACGCACUAAGGGACGGACUAAAACAUGCACCAGGAGUGAUAGGAGGGCGUGUCCUAGUCAUUGGUUCCGAGAAACCAUGGGUUGAAGCAUGCUUGCUUGAGAUAGGCGCAAAAAGUAUUGUUACACUUGAAUAUGGAAGGAUCAAAUCGGAACAUGAUCAAAUAACAACGAUGGUGCCAUCUGAAUAUAGACGAAUGUUUUUAGAUAAAACAUUAGGAUUAUUUGACGCAGUUGUAUCAUUUAGUUCCAUAGAACAUUCUGGACUAGGAAGGUAUGGGGAUUCUCUAAAUCCGUGGGGCGAUUUAAUAGUAGUGGCUAGGGCUUGGUGUGUAACAAAAACCAAUGGGUCUCUGUUACUCGGUGUACUUUACGACUUAAAUGGGGAUUACAUUACAUUCAACGCACACAGGUGUUAUGGUAAAAAAAGAUAUCCAUAUCUAACAACAAAUUGGAAUCAACAUUAUUUGGGAAAAGGACUUCAACGUGUUCAUGUGUUUACAAAAUAGAAGUAUUUAUGUCAUUAUCUAAUAUUUUUAUGUCUGAUACUAGUACUAGUAUAAUAGUAACGAAGCUUCAGAAUAAUUUCAUAGCAAUAAUAACUCAAUAAUAAUGACGUUCAACGACAUCUCUUUGAUGUUGCGGGAAUUUAUCAAUAUCCUGGGCAUCUCGUUAGACGUCGCAGUUAUAUUGAUUACCUUAGCUGUAUUUGGCAAGUCUGUUGGAGUUUUGGGUCAUAAAUAAUGUCAAUGUUGUUUAAUCUCGUACUUCUAACUUUUAAAACUUUUUAAUCAAUCGUUGCCGUUUGAAUCUCGUACAAGUUUCAACCACGUUCACAUUCAGGAUAUGCUAAACUUCUAUAUGCACUAGCAAGUGCAUGAGUAGAUGACUUGACCUUAACCUCACUUUCUACUAAUUAGACUAUUUACCGGAUUUGUUUUCUCAUAAGCAACACGACGGGUGCCACAUAUGGAGCAGGAUCUGCUUACCCUUCCGGAACACCUGAGAUCACCCCUAGUUUUUGGUAGGGUUCGAGCUGUUUAUUCUUUAGUUUUCUAUGUUGUAAUAUGUGUACAAUUUUUUGUUAGUUUGUCCUUUUCAUUUUUAGCCAUGGCGUUGUCAGUUUAUUGUCGAUUUAUGAGUUUGACUGUCCCUCUGGUAUCAUUCGUCCCUCUUUUCUACGUUGAUUGAUUAACAUUUUAAAAUUACCAUCAUAUUCUCAGUUAUAAAACUAACAGUUACCUUUUUUACAUGCCAAUUUUGACCCUACAUUUACAAAAUACGGCUAACUGGAUUCAUAUGACUUUGAUAUUCAGAGUGUGUGUGUGAUAAUACAUCUGGAAAGAGUUUUACCUCUGUGAUUGAAUAACAGUUAAAGAAUAUAUUUUUUUUGCUUUACAAUUGUAUGCGUUUCUCGAUAUGUCGCACGUUUUGCAUGUAUUCGGAUGAUGUGAUUCCUCACAAAACGAGCAUUUCAUACAUUUUAUCGGCUGAAAGUAUUGUCCAUUCUUUCCGUUAAUCGUUUCAGAAACAAACGAAGCGGUCGAUGAAAUGUCUGAUUCGUCAUGACUUGCUCCUAAAGAUUGUCAUAUGACCUGUACGCAGUGUCCCUCUUUAUUGCUACUUUAAAUGAUUAUAUGUCCAAGCAAUCGUUUUGCGGUCCUAGAUUAUGUUUUUCGUACAUCGGAAGACAACGUAUAGUAUAUUAAAGAACAGAAAAUAGUUACAAAAGUGUUCUCAUUUGUUCCCAAAGAUUCCAAACCGCGUAUGCUACUAUUAAUACCGUUUACAAAGUUUUUCAAGCUGUCUGCGAUUUACGUCGUCGUAGUUUAAUCAAUGAAAUUUCAAAUAUAGGUGUUCAAGACUUUGAGGGUCUAAUAAAAUCUCUCUCUUAGUAUUGCUACGUUCUGAUAGUAAUUUGCACCUGUAAUCUGGUAAUUAAUUGUCACAAGACAUGUCUUAUAUGCCACAAAGACGUCAGUAGUCCCAUGUAAGCCAAAACAAUUGCAUAGACAUUCUUUUAUUUCAGACUAAUAAAAUGUGCUGAACACAAGGGAGCAAGCAAACCAAUAGUAUCAAAUGGUGAAGUUGAAGUCAUCCCUACAUAGGGUAACGGACGCCAUCACGAGUUGGUUGACCAUUUCAAAUAUCUGUUUCACAGAUCACCCUAAGUUUUUGGUGUCGGUCGUGUUGCCAAGUCUUUAUUUUUUUAUAUUGUGUUUUUUGUACAAUUGUUUGUCUAUUAGUAUUUUUUUAGCUAUGGUGUGGUGUUUAUUUUCUACAAAUCAGUUUUAUUGUUCCUCUGGUAUUUUUUGCCCCUCGUUCACGUUAGCUGUCUGUAUUUAUGAUAAUAUACACUUACCAAAUUUAAAGAAAACACAUUUACACUAUUUUUGCUUACUUAUCUUAAAACAUAUAUUGCCAAACACGUAUCUUGAUGCAUAUGAUACACUACAAAAUAUGCUUACGUCGUUUUGAAACAUUUUUCAAAUCAUAAUUACGAAAUAACAAAACCACAUCUUGAAUGAAACAACUCUAUAACGUUAUGUCACAUACACAUCACGUUAUGUUAAAAGCACAUUGCCUGAUGACAUUGAAUAAUUGCGACACCAC
rnacentral:lncRNA from 1 species